CAAGCAGUGGAGUACUCUAUAUUUUUAGUUCGGCACGGUCAUUUACUCGUUUAGCUAGCAUGGUUCAUUUAGUUCGUGUUUGUCGUCACGACCAUACACUCUCCACGGGCCAGAUGGCUGAAGUUCGAUCGUGUUUUCAAGUUUUGAUUCUAUUUUUGUCUAUUUUACAAUGCAAGGUCGUUAUUCAGCUAGCACGUACGUACCACCUCACAUUCUUUUUUUUUUUACCAGUACGUACCACCUCACAUUCUACUGAAUAUACUCCAAUAUCAACAUAUGAAUUACAGAAACUUUAUUCUUGGCCCUUGGAUUAUGCCAACAUAAUUUCAGAAAACUAACAUUGCCACAUGUACAAAUCGUGGAUACAGUAUGUAGUAUGUAAAUCCACUUAUUGCAGAGCCAGGAAUGUCAAGCAAGGCCGUCGGCCCUUCCAAACAGAGAUCAACAGAGCAAACAAGAGCUCCUCACGGGUUAACGAAGACGUCGAGCUCAAGCACAGCAUUAGGG
rnacentral:lncRNA from 1 species